rnacentral:rRNA from 1 species
UACGGAGGGUGCAAGCGUUAUCCGGAUUCACUGGGUUUAAAGGGUGCGUAGGCGGGCAGGUAAGUCCGCGGUGAAAUCCUGGGGCUUAACCCCAGAACUGCCGUUGAUACUAUCUGUCUUGAAUACUGUGGAGGUGAGCGGAAUAUGUCAUGUAGCGGUGAAAUGCUUAGAUAUGACAUAGAACACCAAUUGCGAAGGCAGCUCACUACACAGCCAUUGACGCUGAGGCACGAAAGCGUGGGGAUCAAACAGG